rnacentral:rRNA from 1 species
CCCUUCGACGUCUGGGGCCGCACGCGUGCUACAGUGGUGGUGGUAACGCGCGUUCCGUGCUCGUAAGGUGUUCGGGAAUCGUCAAGCUCCCCCAUGCCGGGGAUCGCGGCUUGCAAUUGUGCCUCGUGAACCAGGAAUGCCUAGUAGUCGCGGGUCAUGACCUCGCGUCGACUGCGUCCCUGCCCUUUGUACACACCGCCCGUCGCUCCUACCGAUUGGGUGUGCUGGUGAAAUGUUCGGAUCGGCCGUUUGUCGCGGUUUCCGCGGCUCGUGGCUGAGAAGUUCAUUAAACCCUCCCACCUAGAGGAAGGAGAAGUCGUAACA